rnacentral:rRNA from 1 species
UACAGAGGUCUCAAGCGUUGUUCGGAUUCAUUGGGCGUAAAGGGUGCGUAGGUGGCGCGCUAAGUCAGGUGUGAAAUUUCGGAGCUUAACUCCGAAACUGCAUUUGAUACUGGCGUGCUUGAGGACUGGAGAGGAGACUGGAAUUCAUGGAUGUAGCAGUGGAAUGCGUAGAGAUCAUGAGGAAGACCAGUGGCGAAGGCGGGUCUCUGGACAGUUCCUGACACUGAGAACGAAGGCCAGGGGAGCAAACGGGAUUA